GGAGAGUUUGAUCCUGGCUCAGAACGAACGUUAGCGGCGCGCCUAACACAUGCAAGUCGCACGAGAAAGGGCUUCGGCCCCGGUAAAGUGGCGCACGGGUGAGUAACACGUGGGUAAUCUGCCCUCGAGCUGGGGAUAACAUUCCGAAAGGGGUGCUAAUACCGAAUAAGACCACGACCUCGAAAGAGGAUGCGGUCAAAGCUGGCCUCUAUACAUAAGCUAGCACUUGAGGAUGAGCCCGCGGAGCAUCAGGUAGUUGGUGAGGUAACGGCUCACCAAGCCUAAGACGCUUAGCUGGUCUGAGAGGAUGAUCAGCCACACUGGAACUGAGACACGGUCCAGACUCCUACGGGAGGCAGCAGUGGGGAAUCUUGCGCAAUGGGCGAAAGCCUGACGCAGCGACGCCGCGUGAGUGAUGAAGGCCUUCGGGUUGUAAAGCUCUGUGGGGCGAGACGAAUAAGUGCAAGCUAAUAUCUUGCAUGAUGACGGUAUCGCCUUAGCAAGCACCGGCUAACUCUGUGCCAGCAGCCGCGGUAAUUCCAGCUCCAAUAGCGUAUAUUAAAGUUGUUGUGGUUAAAAAGCUCGUUGGAUCUCAGUUCGAGUCAGGCGGUCCACUUGCCAGUGGCUACUGCCUGACUGAACACUUUACCGAGUUGUCCUAUGGUGUUCUUCACCGAGCGUCAUAGGCGAUCGGUACGUUUACUUUGAAAAAAUUAGAGUGCUCAAAGCAGGCGUAACGCCCGAAUAAUGUUGCAUGGAAUAAUGGAAUAGGACCUCGGUUCUAUUUUGUUGGUCUUCGGAAUCAGAGGUAAUGAUCAAUAGGGACAGACGGGGACAUUCGUAUUGCGGCGCUAGAGGUGAAAUUCUUGGACCGUCGCAAGACGAACUAAAGCGAAAGCAUUUGUCAAGAAUGUUUUCAUUAAUCAAGAACGAAAGUUAGAGGUUCGAAGGCGAUCAGAUACCGCCCUAGUUCUAACCAUAAACGAUGCCAACCAGUAAUUCGUCUGAGUUCCUUAAAUGACUCGACGAGGGACUUCCGGGAAACCAAAGUCUUUCGGUUCCAGGGGAAGUAUGGUUGCAAAGCUGAAACUUAAAGAAAUUGACGGAAGGGCACCACCAGGAGUGGAGCCUGCGGCUUAAUUUGACCCAACACGGGAAAACUCACCCGGCCCGGACACUGGAAGGAUUGACAGAUUGAGAGCUCUUUCUUGAUUCAGUGGGUGGUGGUGCAUGGCCGAUCUUAGUUGGUGGAGUGAUUUGUCUGGUUAAUUCCGAUAACGAACGAGACUCUAGCCUACUAAAUAGAUCGUCGGCUUACAAACGCCGGCGAGACUUCUUAGAGGGACAGGCGGUGAUUCAACCGCACGAAACAGAGCAAUAACAGGUCUGUGAUGCCCUUAGAUGUCCGGGGCCGCACGCGCGCUACACCGAAGAAAUC
rnacentral:rRNA from 1 species